GACGAACGCUGGCGGCGUGCUUAACACAUGCAAGUCGAACGGUGAAGCGCCUUCCUUUUUGGUGGUUGUGUUUGAGUGGCGAACGGGUGUGUAACACGUGAGUAACCUGCCCCCUUCUUCUGGAUAACCGCAUGAAAGUGUGGCUAAUACGGGAUUUUCUGGGUCUGUCGCAUGAUGGGUCUGGGAAAGAUAUUGUUUCGGUGGGGGAUGGGCUCGCGGCCUAUCAGCUUGUUGGUGGGGUGAUGGCCUACCAAGGCGGUGACGGGUAGCCGGCCUGAGAGGGUGGACGGUCACACUGGGACUGAGACACGGUCCAGACUCCUACGGGAGGCAGCAGUGGGGAAUAUUGCACAAUGGGCGAAAGCCUGAUGCAGCGACGCCGCGUGAGGGAUGGAGGCCUUCGGGUUGUGAACCUCUUUCGCCAGUGAAGCAGGACUGCCUCGUUUGUGGGUGGGUUGACGGUAGCUGGAUAAGAAGCGCCGGCUAACUACGUG
rnacentral:rRNA from 1 species